UACGGAGGGGGUUAGCGUUGUUCGGAAUGACUGGGCGUAAAGCGCGCGUAGGCGGGCUGGAAAGUUGGGGGUGAAAUCCCGGGGCUCAACCCCGGAAUGGCCUUCAAAGCUCCCAGCCUAGAGUUCGAGAGAGGUGAGUGGAAUUCCGAGUGUAGAGGUGAAAUUCGUAGAUAUUCGGAGGAACACCAGUGGCGAAGGCGGCUCACUGGCUCGACACUGACGCUGAGGUGCGAAAGCGUGGGGAGCAAACAGG
rnacentral:rRNA from 1 species